rnacentral:lncRNA from 1 species
AUACACCGGCUUAAUGCCUUGUUUUGAUCAUUCUGAACCUUGUCCCCAGUGCAGAUCCUAUCUUCUAAUAGGCUCUUUGGUCUGAGGAAGUCAAGGUAACUUAACUUACUAUCUGUAUAUGCAUUAUUUGUGGUAUAAAGGAAAUCAAGAUAACUUCACAUACAAUCUGUCUUAUAUGCAGUAUUUGUGGGUGGUCGCCGACGUGCAAAAGAUAGUACUAUGCUGGCCUGGAAUCAUGCACAAGGAAUUCCAUAUUGCCUAAUGUAAGCUUCUGUACUCAGCUGAUUGAACUGGUUGAAUCAGAUUGACUUCUAGUAACUUCAUCCAAAUUUACUUGCAUCUAUAGAUUUCUGUGUGCAAUGUUUAGUCAUUCAUUUUAUUUGAAAAGAAUAAAAAAAUUGUCACACAUAAAGUAUUAUUUAUGUUUUAUCAUCUAAUAAAAAUAAAGGUACUAAUCAUAAAACUUUUUUUAAUAAGACUGACUGCACUCUUUCUGCGACGGACGAUGGAGGUAAUAAUAAUUGCAUAAAUUCCCUGCUUGCUAAGUCAUUGCCAUAUGAAUGCAUGCAGGUGGUCAAGCAAACAUAUUCUCGAUGUUAUUUUGAAACAAUCGACAGCACACAUCACUACAUCACCAAUUAAACUGUACGUACCAUUGUUCAGAGAGUUUACUUCAUUUAUUUACAAGAACUCAUCUUUGCCAAUCAAUCAAUCCAUCCAUCCUGUGGCCAAAACUAAACCACAAAUUGUCCAAACUAACAUAGGACGAAGAGGAUGUUGCGUCCGCAAAUUGCAAGAACUCUACAGCUUCGCUUCUGAUUUCUGAAGAUAGAAAUUGAGCAGAGAAGCUGUCAUCUAUCUACAGAGGCAUUAAUUACACAGAGUUAACCGUAACUAUCACUCGAACUCCCAGCAUGCUCUUCGGUUGUCCAACUCCAUGGCCACCAUGACAUCUUGACUUGUGUCCUUCUCCAUCGCCUUCUCGGAGUCGGAGAAGACCGCCUUCGCCGAGGACACCGCAGGAUCAGCUUCUUGGACGCCGGCCGGUCGCAAGUUCUUGGACAUGGAGGGCAGCGGGCGCAUCGGCGGCGGCGGCGGCGGCAGGGGAGCACAAUGGUCAUCACGUCGGCGACGGCAGCAGCAGCAGCUCUGGCGGCGGCGGUCGUAGAAGCACGGGUGCGAGUGGCUGCCCCCGGCGAGCUCCUGCGCGCUGUGCACUCGCCGCAUGCGCGGCG